UAUAUAUAUUGUCGCGACCGGCAGAGUGCCGGUGCACAUAAGAAGGAAAUCGCUCCUUCUCCAACUGCCGCACCGGCACGACGUGGGCAGCCUCCUGCCGAACAUUCCGCCAGCCGGAAGGACCGCCGCGGCAGGGCGGGGCUGACGCGACUCCGGCCAGCGAUUGGCGGAUCCAACGGGGAAGUCCCACCACUCAGGCGACGGCGGAGGAGGAUAAAAGGGCGCGCUUCCGGCUGGGAAGGGGGAGGAGAAUAUCGUAGCGUCAAGACGGACUCCGUGCGUGUUUGCAGCGAUGUGCAAUCUCCGAUCACGUCGGUAACCUCACGCCCCACGCUAAUCUCUCUCUCUCUCUCUCUCUCUCUCUCCCUCUCUUCAGAAGGCACAAGCGCGGACGAGACCGCCGGAUAUUGAGAGUCCCCCGCCCCGCCUCAGGAAUCCCGCCUCCGCCACGAGUAGACUCCGCCGGCCGCCACGCCUCCACAAAACCCCGCACUUAUCCACUUAUAACCCAUUCACUUCACCCUAGCCACAAUAAACCACCGCUUACAACCAUCCUUCUGUCUCCUGUGGGUCUGUACGCUGCCCUUCCCCGGGCUAAUUCCUCACAAUAUAUAUAUAUAUAUAUAUAUAUAUAUAUAUUCCAAACAAUUUAACAUUAAAUGUAAAGAGUAAAUGUUUAAUCUCUGGGCAAAUGUGAAAAAGUGAAUUUUUUUUCACUUUUUGUGAGGGGGGUGGCAGUUUAAGAUUUAUCCAUACAGGUUAGUUAGAAUGAUGAGAACACUUUCAGUAAGUUUAAUAUACAUCAUGUUACACAUUCUGAAACUGCUGCCCAGACAUUAUAAGCCUGAUUUACCUUUAUUAGCUUUUAUUUUCUGGUUAGUGCAAUAUCUCAAGAGUGAAAGAGUGGUUGAAUAUUUGUAGGAUUCAUAUGGAAUUAUCUUUGUAACCAGCAGAUCUACUGAUAAGGCUUUGGAAUUUAUCCAAGCAGAGGAAGCCACAGCAAGGUCAAAUCUUGUUGGCAGUGGAGGCUUCCCAGUUGACACAAUUGGCAUCAGGUUCUACUUGUUGGCUGUUGUUCUUCUAUCCAGUUCCUUUAUGGCAUGUUUGGCCCAAGGAUCUGCUGGAUUAGAGCAUAUUGUUUUGCUAUGUACCAAAUUAAACCU
ensembl:lncRNA